AAAAAAAUAGAAUGCAGAGAAAAAAAUAUCAGCAUAUGAAUCGUUCAGAAAAUUGACGAUCAAAAAUAAAUGAUAACCAGAAUCAAUAAAAAGUGUCAAACAAAAAUUUAUCUUUGCGGAAGUGACUGCUAUUUAAAAAUAUGGACCAGAGAGCAAGAAAGAAAAUUAAUAACUGCUCGAUUGAAAACUUCCGAGCAAUUAUUUGAUUCAAUUAAUUGGCGUUAUAUCAACUUAUAUAACAGAGAAAAAUGGACUGCGUUUGCUGAGACGACUGAAUUAAUAAAAGUAAAAAAUCCCUUCGAAUGUUUUCAACACUUCUCCGACCUUUAUCACCAAUUCAAGGUAUCAAUGAAACUUUAAAUUUUAUUUACAUAUGAAUUUAUUUAGAGGCGAUAAAAGUGAUUUGUAUUAAUAAUGCUAAAUAUUUACAUAGCACGAUACGCGCGCACAUUAAUUUUCACCCAUAAGGAAUCGUGGACUUAUUGUUCAGAAUUUCGACUAAUAAUUAAUUAAGUUUCUAAUAAUAAUUAACUUCAAGAUUCUCAUGUAUUUUCAUUUUAGGAAUUGAUACACAGGCAGAAGUAAUUUUUGAUACGAGUAAAUAAUUAUAAAAACUAUCAAGAAACUUUCUUCUUUUCCCAAAAAAUUAUAGUUCUUCCAUGAAAUUUGAUUUUAUUUCCAUACUUACUCUUUAAUUAUGUAUAAUUGUUCCUGGAAAAAGUUGAAAUUUACUUAAGAUAUAAUUAUUUGUUGUAAUUAUUUGACAAAUAAUGCGUUUAAUAAAAGUCAAAUUUAAAUUAAAUCGAAUUGUGUGCAAAACUUGGAAAAAUUAAAA